CCUACGGGUGGCAGCAGUCGAGAAUCAUUCACAAUGGGGGAAACCCUGAUGGUGCGACGCCGCGUGGGGGAAUGAAGGUCUUCGGAUUGUAAACCCCUGUCAUGUGGGAGCAAAUUAAAAAGAUAGUACCACAAGAGGAAGAGACGGCUAACUCUGUGCCAGCAGCCGCGGUAAUACAGAGGUCUCAAGCGUUGUUCGGAAUCACUGGGCGUAAAGCGUGCGUAGGCUGUUUCGUAAGUCGCGUGUGAAAGGCGCGGGCUCAACCCGCGAACGGCACAUGAUACUGCGAGACUAGAGUGAUGGAGGGGGAACCGGAAUUCUCGGUGUAGCAGUGAAAUGCGUAGAUAUCGAGAGGAACACUCGUGGCGAAGGCGGGUUCCUGGACAUUAACUGACGCUGAGGCACGAAGGCCAGGGGAGCGAAAGGGAUUAGAUACCCUAGUAGUC
rnacentral:rRNA from 1 species